rnacentral:rRNA from 1 species
GUGCCAGCAGCCGCGGUAAAACGUAGGACGCAAGCGUUAUCCGGAGUUACUGGGCGUAAAGCGCGGGCAGGCGGUGGCCAAAGUCGGACGUGAAAGCUCCCGGCUCAACCGGGAGAGGCCGUUCGAAACUGGGUCACUGGAGGGCAGUAGAGGUGCGUGGAAUUCCGGGUGGAGUGGUGAAAUGCGUAGAGAUCCGGAGGAACACCAGAGGCGAAGGCGGCGCACUGGGCUGCACCUGACGCUGAGCCGCGAAAGCCAGGGGAGCGAACGGGAUUAGAAACCCCGGUAGUCCUGGCCGUAAACGAUGUCAACUGGGUGUCGGGUCCGCAAGGGUUCGGCGCCGCAGCUAACGCGGUAAGUUGACCGCCUGGGGAGUACGGCCGCAAGGCUAAAACUCAAAGGAAUUGACGG